rnacentral:rRNA from 1 species
AUCAUGGCUCAGAUUGAACGCUGGCGGCAGGCCUAACACAUGCAAGUCGAGCGGAAACGACACUAACAAUCCUUCGGGUGCGUUAAUGGGCGUCGAGCGGCGGACGGGUGAGUAAUGCCUAGGAAAUUGCCUUGAUGUGGGGGAUAACCAUUGGAAACGAUGGCUAAUACCGCAUAAUGCCUACGGGCCAAAGAGGGGGACCUUCGGGCCUCUCGCGUCAAGAUAUGCCUAGGUGGGAUUAGCUAGUUGGUGAGGUAAUGGCUCACCAAGGCGACGAUCCCUAGCUGGUCUGAGAGGAUGAUCAGCCACACUGGAACUGAGACACGGUCCAGACUCCUACGGGAGGCAGCAGUGGGGAAUAUUGCACAAUGGGCGAAAGCCUGAUGCAGCCAUGCCGCGUGUAUGAAGAAGGCCUUCGGGUUUAAAGUACUUUCAGUUGUGAGGAAGGGGGUAGCGUUAAUAGCGC